rnacentral:rRNA from 1 species
UUAAGUGACUAAGCGUACACGGUGGAUGCCUUGGCAGUCAGAGGCGAUGAAAGACGUAGUAACUUGCGAUAAGCCCAGAUUAGGUAGUAACAACCAUUUGAGUCUGGGAUUUCUGAAUGGGGAAACCCACGUGCAUAAGCACGUAUCCUUACCUGAAUACAUAGGGUAAGGAGGCGAACCGGGGGAACUGAAACAUCUAAGUACCCCGAGGAAAAGAAAUCAACCGAGAUUCCGAAAGUAGCGGCGAGCGAAAUUGGACUAGCCCUUAAGCUUUACACGCGUUAGACGAACGGUCUGGAAAGUCCGACGAUACAGGGUGAUAGUCCCGUAGUUGACGACGUGUGUUCAGUGAAAUCGAGUAGGGCGGGACACGUGAUAUCCUGUCUGAAUAUGGGGGGACCAUCCUCCAAGGCUAAAUACUACUGACUGACCGAUAGUGAACCAGUACCGUGAGGGAAAGGCGAAAAGAACCCCUGUGAGGGGAGUGAAAUAGAACCUGAAACCGUGUACGUACAAGCAGUAGGAGCAGGCUUUGUCCUGUGACUGCGUACCUUUUGUAUAAUGGGUCAGCGACUUAUAUUCAGUGGCAAGGUUAACCAUCUAGGGGAGCCGUAGGGAAACCGAGUCUUAACUGGGCGUUCAGUCUCUGGAUAUAGACCCGAAACCAGGUGAUCUAGCCAUGGGCAGGUUGAAGGUUGAGUAACAUCAACUGGAGGACCGAACCGACUAAUGUUGAAAAAUUAGCGGAUGACUUGUGGCUAGGGGUGAAAGGCCAAUCAAACCUGGAGAUAGCUGGUUCUCCCCGAAAGCUAUUUAGGUAGCGCCUCGGACGAAUACUACUGGGGGUAGAGCACUGUUAAGGCUAGGGGGUCAUCCCGACUUACCAACCCUUUGCAAACUCCGAAUACCAGUAAGUACUAUCCGGGAGACACACGGCGGGUGCUAACGUCCGUCGUGGAGAGGGAAACAACCCAGACCGCCAGCUAAGGUCCCAAAUUACUACUAAGUGGGAAACGAUGUGGGAAGGCUCAGACAGCCAGGAUGUUGGCUUAGAAGCAGCCAUCAUUUAAAGAAAGCGUAAUAGCUCACUGGUCGAGUCGGCCUGCGCGGAAGAUGUAACGGGGCUAAGUAGUAAACCGAAGCUGCGGCAAUGUGCUUUUGCACAUUGGGUAGGGGAGCGUUCUGUAAGCGGUUGAAGGUGUGUGGUAACGCAUGCUGGACGUAUCAGAAGUGCGAAUGCUGACAUGAGUAACGAUAAAGGGGGUGAAAAACCUCCUCGCCGGAAGACCAAGGGUUCCUGUCCAACGUUAAUCGGGGCAGGGUAAGUCGACCCCUAAGGCGAGGCCGAAAGGCGUAGUCGAUGGGAAACGGGUUAAUAUUCCCGUACUUCUUACAAUUGCGAUGGGGGGACGGAGAAGGCUAGGUGGGCCUGGCGACGGUUGUCCAGGUUCAAGUGCGUAGGCUUGAGAGUUAGGUAAAUCCGGCUCUCUUUAAGGCUGAGACACGACGUCGAGCCACUACGGUGGUGAAGUCAUUGAUGCCAUGCUUCCAGGAAAAGCCUCUAAGCUUCAGAUUGUAAGGAAUCGUACCCCAAACCGACACAGGUGGUCGGGUAGAGAAUACCAAGGCGCUUGAGAGAACUCGGGUGAAGGAACUAGGCAAAAUGGUACCGUAACUUCGGGAGAAGGUACGCUCUCGACGGUGAAGUCCCUCGCGGAUGGAGCUAUUGAGAGUCACAGAUACCAGGUGGCUGCAACUGUUUAUUAAAAACACAGCACUGUGCAAAAUCGUAAGAUGACGUAUACGGUGUGACGCCUGCCCGGUGCCGGAAGGUUAAUUGAUGGGGUUAGACUUCGGUCGAAGCUCUUGAUCGAAGCCCCGGUAAACGGCGGCCGUAACUAUAACGGUCCUAAGGUAGCGAAAUUCCUUGUCGGGUAAGUUCCGACCUGCACGAAUGGCGUAAUGAUGGCCACGCUGUCUCCACCCGAGACUCAGUGAAAUUGAAAUCGCUGUGAAGAUGCAGUGUACCCGCGGCUAGACGGAAAGACCCCGUGAACCUUUACUACAGCUUGGCACUGAACAUUGACCCUACAUGUGUAGGAUAGGUGGGAGGCUUUGAAGCACGUACGCCAGUAUGUGUGGAGCCGUCCUUGAAAUACCACCCUUGUAGUGUUGAUGUUCUAACGUCGACCCCUUAUCGGGGUUGCGGACAGUGCCUGGUGGGUAGUUUGACUGGGGCGGUCUCCUCCCAAAGAGUAACGGAGGAGCACGAAGGUGGGCUAAUCACGGUUGGACAUCGUGAGGUUAGUGCAAUGGCAUAAGCCCGCUUGACUGCGAGAAUGACAAUUCGAGCAGGUGCGAAAGCAGGUCAUAGUGAUCCGGUGGUUCUGAAUGGAAGGGCCAUCGCUCAACGGAUAAAAGGUACUCCGGGGAUAACAGGCUGAUACCGCCCAAGAGUUCAUAUCGACGGCGGUGUUUGGCACCUCGAUGUCGGCUCAUCACAUCCUGGGGCUGAAGUCGGUCCCAAGGGUAUGGCUGUUCGCCAUUUAAAGUGGUACGCGAGCUGGGUUUAGAACGUCGUGAGACAGUUCGGUCCCUAUCUGCCGUGGGCGUUGGAAGAUUGAAGGGGGCUGCUCCUAGUACGAGAGGACCGGAGUGGACGAACCUCUGGUGUUCGGGUUGUGUCGCCAGACGCAUUGCCCGGUAGCUAAGUUCGGAAUCGAUAACCGCUGAAAGCAUCUAAGCGGGAAGCGAGCCCUGAGAUGAGUCUUCCCUGAUACUUUAAGUAUCCUAAAGGGUUGUCGGAGACUACGACGUUGAUAGGUCAGGUGUGUAAGUGCUGUGAGGCAUUGAGCUAACUGAUACUAAUUGCCCGUGAGGCUUAACC